rnacentral:lncRNA from 1 species
GACAUCGUUCCCGAGCCCGUUCCGCAAGAAGACGACGAAGAGGACGCCUAAAGACUCCAUAGUCGUAUUCAUCGCUUUUACUUUCGAAUUUCUCUUUUAGUUAGUUUGAUCUUUUAUAUUUUGAGCACGUUUUUGGUUUUAAUGUAAGGGAUGUUAAUCGAAAUUUUGACUUCGCUUCCGCAUUGACAUUUUUAAUAUACAC